rnacentral:rRNA from 1 species
UACGUAGGGUGCAAGCGUUGUCCGGAAUUAUUGGGCGUAAAGAGCUCGUAGGCGGUUUGUCGCGUCUGCUGUGAAAACUCGGGGCUUAACCCCCGGGCCUGCAGUGGGUACGGGGCAGACUAGAGUGCGGUAGGGGGAGACUGGAAUUCCUGGUGUAGCGGUGAAAUGCGCAGAUAUCAGGAGGAACACCGGUGGCGAAGGC